rnacentral:rRNA from 1 species
GUCGAACGAGAGAUGAGGAGCUUGCUCUUCAAAUCGAGUGGCGAACGGGUGAGUAACGCGUGAGGAACCUGCCUCAAAGAGGGGGACAACAGUUGGAAACGACUGCUAAUACCGCAUAAGCCCACGGCUCGGCAUCGAGCAGGGGGAAAAGGAGCAAUCCGCUUUGAGAUGGCCUCGCGUCCGAUUAGCUAGUUGGUGAGGUAACGGCCCACCAAGGCGACGAUCGGUAGCCGGACUGAGAGGUUGAACGGCCACAUUGGGACUGAGACACGGCCCAGACUCCUACGGGAGGCAGCAGUGGGGAAUAUUGCACAAUGGGGGAAACCCUGAUGCAGCGACGCCGCGUGGAGGAAGAAGGUCUUCGGAUUGUAAACUCCUGUUGUUGAGGAAGAUAAUGACGGUACUCAACAAGGAAGUGACGGCUAACUACGUGCCAGCAGCCGCGGUAAAACGUAGGUCACAAGCGUUGUCCGGAAUUACUGGGUGUAAAGGGAGCGCAGGCGGGAGAACAAGUUGGAAGUGAAAUCCAUGGGCUCAACCCAUGAACUGCUUUCAAAACUGUUUUUCUUGAGUAGUGCAGAGGUAGGCGGAAUUCCCGGUGUAGCGGUGGAAUGCGUAGAUAUCGGGAGGAACACCAGUGGCGAAGGCGGCCUACUGGGCACCAACUGACGCUGAGGCUCGAAAGUGUGGGUAGCAAACAGGAUUAGAUACCCUGGUAGUCCACACCGUAAACGAUGAUUACUAGGUGUUGGAGGAUUGACCCCUUCAGUGCCGCAGUUAACACAAUAAGUAAUCCACCUGGGGAGUACGACCGCAAGGUUGAAACUCAAAGGAAUUGACGGGGGCCCGCACAAGCAGUGGAGUAUGUGGUUUAAUUCGACGCAACGCGAAGAACCUUACCAAGUCUUGACAUC